rnacentral:rRNA from 1 species
CCUACGGGAGGCAGCAGCAAGGAAUUUUCGGCAAUGGGCGCAAGCCUGACCGAGCAACGCCGCGUGGAGGACGACGGCCUUCGGGUUGUAAACUCCUUUUGCGGGGGAUGAUCGUGACCGUACCCCGCGAAUAAGGCUCGGCUAACUCUGUGCCAGCAGCCGCGGUAAGACAGAGGAGCCAAGCGUUGCCCGGAUUGACUGGGCGUAAAGCGCACGCAGGCGGUCGUGCACGUGGGGUGUGAAACCUGGCCGCUUAACGGCCAGACGCCACCGCAUACGGCGCGACUUGAGAGUGGCAGAGGUUCGUGGAAUUGCCGGUGWAGUGGUGAAAUGCGUAGAGAUCGGCAGGAACACCAAGGGCGAAAGCAGCGAACUGGGCCAUAUCUGACGCUCAGGUGCGAAAGCGUGGGGAGCGAACCGGAUUAGAUACCCGGGUAGUCCACGCCGUAAACGAUGAAUACUCGGCAUCUGGUGGCCGAUUUUCGGCGGCCGGGUGCCCCAGCUAACGCGGUAAGUAUUCCGCCUGGGAACUACGAGCGCAAGCUUAAAACUCAAAUGAAUUGACGG